UACGAAGGGGGCUAGCGUUGCUCGGAAUCACUGGGCGUAAAGCGCACGUAGGCGGAUCCUUAAGUCGGGGGUGAAAUCCUGGAGCUCAACUCCAGAACUGCCUUUGAUACUGAGGAGCUUGAGUCCGGGAGAGGUGAGUGGAACUGCGAGUGUAGAGGUGAAAUUCGUAGAUAUUCGCAAGAACACCAGUGGCGAAGGCGGCUCACUGGCCCGGUACUGACGCUGAGGUGCGAAAGCGUGGGGAGCAAACAGG
rnacentral:rRNA from 1 species